AGAGUUUGAUCCUGGCUCAGGACGAACGCUGGCGGCGUGCCUAACACAUGCAAGUCGAACGGAGAAUUUCAAUAAGCUUGCUUAGAGAAAUUUUUAGUGGCGGACGGGUGAGUAACGCGUGGGUAACCUACCCAUAAAAUCGGGACAACCCUUGGAAACGAGGGCUAAUACCGAAUAAUCUUUGAGAGUGGCAUCACUCACUAAGAAAAGGUGGCCUCUGAAAAUGCUACCGAUUAUGGAUGGACCCGCGUCUGAUUAGCUAGUUGGUGGGGUAAAGGCCUACCAAGGCGACGAUCAGUAGCCGGCCUGAGAGGGUGAACGGCCACACUGGGACUGAGACACGGCCCAGACUCCUACGGGAGGCAGCAGUGGGGAAUCUUCCGCAAUGGACGAAAGUCUGACGGAGCAACGCCGCGUGCAUGAUGAAGGUCUUCGGAUUGUAAAGUACUGUCUUUGGGGAAGAAUGACUGAUUUGAAAAUAUUGAGUCAGUAUGACGGUACCCAAGGAGGAAGCCCCGGCUAACUACGUGCCAGCAGCCGCGGUAAUACA
rnacentral:rRNA from 1 species